GAGCAUGUAACUCAACGGAUAGAGUAUCAGAUUCCGGUUUUGAAUGUUGAAGGUUCGAUUCCUUCCAUGCUCA
rnacentral:tRNA from 1 species